UGAUCGAUGAUGCAUGCGAUUGAGCCUCUUGAUGGUUUGAUCGGUUGAUUGAGCCGGUUCUCGACCUUCUGUCUCUCGGUGUGCCUCCUCGACGGCGACCGAGCGGAGCUUUCACUCGGUGGCUCAGCUCGAUUCGAAAGUCUCUCUCCACUACAAAAGUGUACCGCCGCCAUUCGUGUCUUGGCGUAUGGUUCUGCAGCUGAUACCGUCGAUGAAUACCUCCGGCUCGGUUCGUCAACAACUCGGUUAUGUGUUGAAAACUUUGUGGAUGGAAUAAUAAAUUUGUUCGGCGAAGAGUACUUAAGAAGACCAACAGAGGCUGAUCUUCAACGUCUACUUUAUGUUGCAGAGUGUCGUGGGUUUCCGGGGAUGAUAGGAAGCAUCGAUUGUAUGCAUUGGGAGUGGAAGAAUUGUCCCAGUGCUUGGAAAGGGCAAUAUGCUCGUGGUUCGGGUAAACCAACAAUUGUUUUAGAGGCAGUUGCUUCAUACGAUCUCUGGAUAUGGCAUGCGUUUUUUGGACUUCCAGGCAAUAUGAUAUGGCUUACUAUCUUACCGAUGGUAUAUAUCCGAAAUGGGCAACUUUUAUCCAAUCUAUUCCUCUACCACAAGGACCCAAAGCAGUUCUAUUUGCUCAAUGGCAAGAAGCUUACCGAAAAGAUGUCGAGCGUGCUUUUGGAGUCUUGCAAGCUCGCUUUGCCAUUGUUAAAAAUCCAGUCUUGUUUUGGGAUAGAGUCAAAAUUGGAAAGAUAAUGCGAGCAUGUAUCAUACUCCAUAAUAUGAUAGUACAAGAUGAACGAGAUGGAUACACGCAAGUAGAUGAUUCAGAGUGGAGAGAAAGAGAAGACUCCGAUGACACGUUUUCUACAGCCCCUUCAACUGUCGGAACAAUGAUUGAUGUUGAAAUAACAAUUCGUGAUAGACAGUUGCAUCAACGACUCAAAGGUGAUUUGGUUCAACAUAUAUGGCGUAAAUGUGGACAUGAUGAAGGCAACAACUGAUCUCCGAAAUUUCUUUCAAAUAAAUCUCGUUUGAAUUUUAUUAAUCUUUGUUUUAUGUUUUUUUUUAAAUUAUAUUUUAAAUGUUAUCUUUUAUUAUGUUUUAUAUUUAAUAAAAAAAAAAAUUAAAAAAAAAAUAAUAUUAUUUUAUUUUAAAAGAAACUCAAAUCA